AUCCUUGUAGUGCAAUGGAUAGCGCGUUGGACUUCUAAUCCAAAUGCUGUGGAUUCGAAUCUCACCUGGGAUG